UCUGGUUCUUCAAUGACCGGCUCUGGAGCUUUGAAUAGAUCUCCUUCUCCUCCCAAGUCAUAUUCCGAUACAGCCGAAUUGCAAAGAAGAUUUGCCAUGUGAUGAGCGCCAUUUCCAAGGUCAGCUCCAAAGCGGAGGAGAAGCCCAUCAUCCGGCGGCGGCGGGAGGCGGAAGUGGUGGUAGGGAGGAGGCGCAGCCGCUGGCUCCGGCGGG
rnacentral:misc_RNA from 1 species